GUGGAUUGGCUAAAGAGUUUGUAAACACUAUGAGGUUAAGCGUGCUUGGAUGAGAGUAGUAACAGGAUGGGUGACCUCCUGAGAAUUCUCACCAAAUCCAAC
rnacentral:rRNA from 1 species